rnacentral:rRNA from 1 species
CAGUCGCCGCGGGAAUACGGAGGGUGCAAGCGUUAAUCGGAAUUACUGGGCGUAAAGCGCACGCAGGCGGUCUGUCAAGUCAGAUGUGAAAUCCCCGGGCUUAACCUGGGAACUGCAUUUGAAACUGGCAGGCUAGAGUCUUGUAGAGGGGGGUAGAAUUCCAGGUGUAGCGGUGAAAUGCGUAGAGAUCUGGAGGAAUACCGAUGGCGAAGGCAGCCAUCUGGCCUAACACUGACGCUGAGGUACGAAAGCAUGGGGAGCAAACAGGAUUAGAUACCCCGGUAGUCCCUGUCUCUUAUAA